rnacentral:rRNA from 1 species
AUGAGUCCACCAUACCUUCCUAUAUGUGGUAUCUACCUGCCGUUCCAAGUAAAUUUGUAUGUGCCAAACUCUAAACCUUCAAAUGAAUUUCUGUUUUGUAUGCUCGAAUUGCUCAUGUAUCAACUAGGGUUGUCUGUAUCUUCCAUGCUAGGCGGGUUAUUCUCAAGAGGAGUGGACUCCGCUCCUCACUCACGAGAAAAUGGCUGGUCACAGGGAUGCCUAGUCCCAUGCUCAAAUCAAAUCAAAAUAAUUGCAAACAAAACUCCCCCAGGACUGUUGUUAGUUGGAGGCACCCGUUGUUUUGGACCAGCCAUGGAUUGA